CUACGGGUUGCAGCAGUGGGGAAUAUUGGACAAUGGGGGAAACCCUGAUCCAGCAAUGCCGCGUGUGCGAAGAAGGCCUGCGGGUUGUAAAGCACUUUCGGUUGGGAGGACUGCUUCUAGCACUAAUAUUGUUGGAAGUUGACGUUACCUUCAGAAGAAGCACCGGGUAACUCCGUGCCAGCAGCCGCGGUAAUACGGAGGGUGCAAGCGUUAAUCGGAAUUACUGGGCGUAAAGCGCGCGUAGGCGGCUAGAUCAGUCGGGUGUGAAAGCCCCGGGCUUAACCUGGGAACUGCAUCCGAUACUGUCUAGCUUGAGUACAGGAGAGGAGAGUGGAAUUCCACAUGUAGCGGUGAAAUGCGUAGAUAUGUGGAGGAACACCAAUGGCGAAGGCAGCUCUCUGGCCUGAUACUGACGCUGAGGUGCGAAAGCGUGGGGAUCAAACAGGAUUAGAUACCCCAGUAGUC
rnacentral:rRNA from 1 species